AACAGCUUUCUUGAGGUAUAACUAAAAUACAAGGAACUGCAAAUAUUUAAUGUGUAUAAUUUGAUGAGUUCGGACAUAUGCAAACACCCAUGAAACCAUCACCACAAUCAAAGUAUGGGUCACUGGAAAGGUAUCAUCAGACAGUUCUGGGAAGCUCUGAGAUUUACUAGCAGCGUUUGGAAGCUGCAUUACCAGGAUACAACCAGAAGAUGAACAUCUGAAGACCAGGAAGGGGCCCUUACCGAGAACGGAAUCUGCCAGCACCUUGAACUCUCAGCCUCCAGACCCAGGAGAGAGCACUGUCUAAUGGUUAAGUCCCCCAGUCUGUGAUAUCGUGUUAUAGCAGCUGGAGCUGACUAAACACAGCAUUUGGGGGGAGUCUGUGGAAUGGAUUGCAGGAGAGAGAUGGAACUGGAGGGCCUCCGCGGGGAGCAGCAUAGGAAUGAUGUGCAGAGCUCACACCCGGAGAGCGUGCCCUUGGCACAGUGUCUCACCAAGGGAAGAGAACUCUAGUCUAACACAGAUAAUUUCUAAGCCGUCUCAAUUUUGUG